GCUAAUAAAUUAUGAUUUUAAUCCUUAAAAAAUUUUAAUCUAUUAUCUUCUUUCUUUGAACGUGCAUUGUUUGAUUUUCUUUCAGAAAAUUUGAUUUGAUGGAGAAAAUUGUGUCAAUUUUAAUUAAACAUGGUGGCAAAUGAAAUUCAUCAGAUUUGUUUUUUUGCAGAUUAAGACUGAGUUUGUGUUUGUGACAAAAUGUUGAAAGAUGGAGCAUGAAAUUCCUCGGAUCUUGCUUCAUCAUUCAACCUUCUACUUUUUCGCGGGGUUUCAUUGCCUCUCUUCGACAUUAUACAAUUUUUUGAGUGCAAAAGAUGAAGAUUUGAGUGCAAAAGUGGAAGAAUUGGUGAAGAAGAAUGUUAAAAGUGAAAGUUUUUUGAGCCAAAUUUGGUGAAGAUUAAAUGUUAGGCGUGCAAAAAGAAGAUUUGGUGAGGAUUUGGGGAAUAUAAUUUUUUUUUGAACAACGUGUGACAGUUUUAAAAAGAAAACUGUUAUUAUUUUAGAUAUUGAUGGGUAGUUAUUAAUUAUGGAAUGAUAAAAUCCCUAUUAUUUUGUAA